CUCCUUUCCCUUCCUCCCCCACAACUAACACUCUGUGAGUAUAAACUGGAGACUACAUCCGUUGGGUAUGACAUGCGAAUAACUACACGAGUACAACAAUCCUGCACCAGAGUACAUAUACUGUACAGUCACUAAACUCUGCGUGUGAAUACUGUACAAAUGUACCCCCUAAACUGCUUGUGUAUCCAGGUACAGAGAUUGUACAUGUGUUGAAUGUAACAUGUGAACACACCCAUUAUCUGUCCUUAAUCUGGGCUUCUUACAACUCUGUGCUCAAACCUGUUUGCUGGCCCAACAAGUCAAUUGCAAUGGGUUGUAAUGCCCGCCAUCUGUGCUGUGCAAUGUAACAAAACAUGUCACUGUAGCAAAGCAGGAUAAACAGCCGGAUACAAAAUAACUUCAAGUCAACUACAACAGCCUAACUUGCUUAUUGAAAAGGCUGCCUACCACCUUUCCUCCUUAGGUUUAGAGUGUAGUUUUGUCAUUGGCAAAGCAAAGAAAACUUACUAGACCACACUAUGAUCCAUUAAUAUGCUGGCAUUCAUUUCAGGGAGUGCACUGAACUGCUUACUGGAGAGGAGACUGCCAUAAAUAAUCAAGCACGGUUCUCCAAAAUGUCAUGUGGGCCUUUCUUUAAAAUAGGUGCUAUAUUAUCAAGUAAAUACAAGAUAUCUUUGCAGACAGGGUCAUGAUACACAGAACCCAAGACACUUGUCCUCCUAUAUGUAAAAACACUAGAGAGAAAGUCUCUGUACUGCCAUGCAGUGUUUAUACAGUACUAUAGUUAUUCACUAGUCCAUAACAGCCUUUAGAAAAACUAAAUUAAGAACCGCCACAAUCAGAAACAAAAAGCACAUACCAUUUGAAGCUUCAUUCUAAUUGUAUUACAGAAAAACACAUACAGAUCUGCACAAUUAGUUGAGGACAGAAUUCACCCAUUGUAUGCAAUACUGUAAAUCAUUCUGAAUCGACACUUGUAGAGAUAGCCAACUACGUCAAUUUAUAUAAGUAAGCCUACGAAGUGUCUGACACUGCAGUCUGGUAAUCUCUACACAAUACCACAGAGAUUACAGUGGUUGGGAUUUUCAGGAAAGCUAAUGAUUUAAAAUAGAUAGUGCACCACUAAAACUCAAUAGUUGCAAUGCAACGGGAGAGCUAAGUGGACUGAAGUGCACUUAAACUCUGAACUGGAGCUUUGGGGCUUACUACAGACAAGCAUUUAUUUUGAAAACACAGAAAUAGUGUUUUGCACAGACUGUACAGACUGGCUCCUUCUUGCUUUGGGAAAGCGUUGCCGAAUCAUAUUUCCAGCAGAAUGGGCACAUCAUGAUACAAAUAUUAUAAGCAGUGAGGACUAUGCUCAUACACUGGUUUUGAUCAGGACCAUUUGACACAUCAGUUAUUCCUUAAUACAGAGGGGUUGCUAUUAAUUCCCCCUCAUUGAUCGUCAGCUGAUUAUCGGGCAUUUUCACUGCGAGAUAAAAGGAGUGGAUUUAUUAGCACGUGCAGGAUGUCUGUACGGUUUUGCUCACUUUACUCCUGCCUGCACACCAAUAAACUCUUCUAUUGCACGCUAA